GCCUGGGUGGCUCAGUCGGUCGAGCAUCCAACUCUUGAUUUCGGCUCAGGUCGUGAUCUCACAGUUUGUGGGUUCGAGCCCCACAUCAGGCU
rfam:Felis catus isolate Cinnamon breed Abyssinian chromosome D1, whole genome shotgun sequence.